ACUCGACAGGGCGAGGCUAAAUAGCAUUUAGGCCCUGAGCGGCUCCCUUCGGGAG
rnacentral:ribozyme from 10 species